rnacentral:rRNA from 1 species
UACGAAGGGUGCAAACGUUGCUCGGAAUUAUUGGGCGUAAAGCGCACGUAGGCGGCCCGGCAAGUCGGAUGUGAAAGCCCUCGGCUCAACCGAGGAAGUGCAUCCGAAACUGCCGGGCUUGAGUACGAAAGAGGAUCGCGGAAUUCCCGGUGUAGAGGUGAAAUUCGUAGAUAUCGGGAGGAACACCAGUGGCGAAGGCGGCGAUCUGGGUCGAUACUGACGCUGAGGUGCGAAAGCGUGGGGAGCAAACAGG